rnacentral:lncRNA from 1 species
GUUGAUUUUUUUGUUUUGUUUUUGUCUAUUAUCUAAUUAAUAAUGUUAUUCUAACUAAUGGAAAAAAAUAAUAAAUAUAAUUAAAAAGAUAGAAAUAAAGGGUGGGGGAUACACUUGACAAUUAGGGAAUGAUGAAAAAAGAUUAAAAAGUAAAAUAACUAUAAUAAAAGUAAACAAUCAAAAUGAAUGAAUAUGGAAUAAAGAAAAUAUUAACCCUAAAUAAUAAAAGAUGAGAAUCUAGAUAAGUUAAAUUAAAAUGGAAGUUUUUUUUGUAUUUUUUUAUAAAAAGAAAAACUCUAAGUAACUAAUUAAAUAAAUAAAUAUAAUUAAUAAAAUAAAUAUUUUUACUAUUUUUCAAAUAAAAUCUAAUCACUUUUCAAAUUAAUUAAUGAAGUAGUUGGUUAUAUAAUUUUUUAAAUAAAAACUAGCAACAAAUAAAAUAAAAGAAAAAGAAGUU